CUGUGGUGUUGCAGAGGCUGGUCUGGAACCAGACACACUGGUGGGUGUGUUGGGUCUCUGAGCAGCGCUAAGGAAUUUCGCUGGGCAGAGUCUUUACACAGAUCCCAGAAAUAGUUCAAGUCAUAAGAAUAUGCCCAGCAUCACAGGCUGGAGCACGUUCCCGUCCUGCUAAGUGUCAGCACGCCGCUAUCAGCUUGCAGCAAAUUGUGCUUUCCCUGAGCGGUGGCUGAUGGAAUGAAUGGCAGCCCGGAGAUAGUCCUGUCCUUCACAAUGCAGAAAGGGCGAGAGUUCCCACAACUGCUUUUCCCUGUGUUCUGUGCAGAGAGCUUGUCCUCAAAGAUUUGUCUUAGCUCCUGA
rnacentral:lncRNA from 1 species